rnacentral:lncRNA from 1 species
AAACGAUCAGAUCUUUGUUUAUGUCAGGAUGAGGUUCCCCUCCUAUUCCCGACACAAUCAAUUUCAGCUCAUGUUAGGAUGAGAUUUUCCUCCUGUUCCUAAUAGGGCUAUGGGGGCAUAUAAGGGCCGUUGCAUGGGCCUCUCCCUCCAUCCGAUCUCUAAAUAACCAGACCUUCGAUCUUGCUCAUGUUAGGAUGAGGUUCUCCUCCUGUUCUUAACAUGGCUGUGGAGGCG